rnacentral:rRNA from 1 species
CCCUACGGGUGGCAGCAGGGGGACUCUUGGGAGCCUUGCGCUAUCAGAUGAGCCUAUGUCGGAUUAGCUAGUUGGUGAGGUAAAGGCUCACCAAGGCGACGAUCCGUAGCUGGUCUGAGAGGAUGAUCAGCCACACUGGGACUGAGACACGGCCCCAGACUCCUACGGGGUGGCAGCAGUGGGGAAUAUUGGACAAUGGGCGCAAGCCUGAUCCAGCCAUGCCGCGUGUGUGAAGAAGGCCUUCGGGUUGUAAAGCACUUUCAGCGAGGAGGAAAGGGGUGUUGUUAAUAUCAACGCCCUGUGACGUUACUCGCAGAAGAAGCACCGGCUAACUCCGUGCCAGCAGCCGCGGUAAUACGGAGGGUGCCAGCGUUAAUCGGAAUUACUGGGCGUAAAGCGUGCGUAGGCGGCCUUUUAAGUUGGAUGUGAAAGCCCCGGGCUUAACCUGGGAACGGCAUCCAAAACUGAGAGGCUCGAGUGCGGAAGAGGAGUGUGGAAUUUCCUGUGUAGCGGUGAAAUGCGUAGAUAUAGGAAAGAACACCAGUGGCGAAGGCGACACUCUGGUCUGACA